AGUGAACGCUGGCGGUAGGCCUAACACAUGCAAGUCGAACGGCAGCACAGUAAGAGCUUGCUCUUACGGGUGGCGAGUGGCGGACGGGUGAGGAAUACAUCGGAAUCUACUUUUUCGUGGGGGAUAACGUAGGGAAACUUACGCUAAUACCGCAUACGACCUACGGGUGAAAGCAGGUGAUCUUCGGACCUUGCGCGAUUGAAUGAGCCGAUGUCGGAUUAGCUAGUUGGCGGGGUAAAGGCCCACCAAGGCGACGAUCCGUAGCUGGUCUGAGAGGAUGAUCAGCCACACUGGAACUGAGACACGGUCCAGACUCCUACGGGAGGCAGCAGUGGGGAAUAUUGGACAAUGGGCGCAAGCCUGAUCCAGCCAGACCGCGUGGGUGAAGAAGGCCUUCGGGUUGUAAAGCCCUUUUGUUGGGAAAGAAAAGCAGCAGGUUAAUACCCCGCUGUUCUGACGGUACCCAAAGAAUAAGCACCGGCUAACUUCGUG
rnacentral:rRNA from 1 species